CCUACGGGAUGCUGCAGUGAGGAAUAUUGGUCAAUGGUCGGGAGACUGAACCAGCCAAGCCGCGUGAGGGAUGAAGGUACAGAGUAUCGUAAACCUCUUUUGUCAGGGAACAAAGGCGGGGACGUGUCCCCGGCUGAGUGUACCUGAAGAAAAAGCAUCGGCUAACUCCGUGCCAGCAGCCGCGGUAAUACGGAGUAUGCGAGCGUUAUCCGGAUUUAUUGGGUUUAAAGGGUGCGCAGGCGGUCUGUUAAGUCAGCGGUCAAAGCCCGGGGCUCAACCCCGGCCCGCCGUUGAAACUGGCAGUCUCGAGUGGGAGAGAAGUAGGCGGAAUGCGCGGUGUAGCGGUGAAAUGCAUAGAUAUCGCGCAGAACUCCGAUUGCGAAGGCAGCAUGCCGGCUCCACACUGACGCUGAGGCACGAAAGCGUGGGUAUCGAACAGGAUUAGAUACCCUAGUAGUC
rnacentral:rRNA from 1 species